rnacentral:rRNA from 1 species
CAGUCGCCGCGGGAAAACGGAGGGGGCUAGCGUUGUUCGGAUUUACUGGGCGUAAAGCGUACGUAGGCGGACUUUUAAGUCAGGGGUGAAAUCCCGGGGCUCAACCCCGGAACUGCCUUUGAUACUGGAAGUCUUGAGUAUGGUAGAGGUGAGUAGAAUUCCGAGUGUAGAGGUGAAAUUCGUAGAUAUUCGGAGGAACACCAGUGGCGAAGGCGGCUAACUGGACCAUUACUGACGCUGAGGUGCGAAAGCGUGGGGAGCAAACAGGAUUAGAUACCCCCGUAGUCCCUGUCUCUUAUAC